rnacentral:lncRNA from 1 species
CCUCAGCUCCCCUUUUGGUAAGUAGAGGUAUGGCUUUUCACGGUUCUGCUUCGCUUGAAAUUCCUUUUUACAUUUUUCAAAGUAUGCUUUCACAUCAGAAGCAACUGAUGCGGUUAUCUCCUCGUCAGUCUUCUCAUAAGGCAACUUUUCACAGGAUGCUUUAGAGCCAGAGGGAGCCUGAGCCUGCUUCUUUCUAGGAUAUGGGACCGAAGCCUUUGGUG